rnacentral:lncRNA from 1 species
GAUUAGAAAGAAUUUCUAAUGCUUCAUUAUUGAAGUUAUCAUUGGUGAUCAAUGACUGAUGCCCCUUUCCUCAUUCGAGCAUUGAAAAUGGUAUGACUUGUCUUAUGCCUCUCAACAUCAUCGGGUAUGCCAAUGGAUUUGUUCAACAUUUGAAGCAUGUCUUGUGGUUGAGCAUUCUUAAAUCUAUGGUUGAACUCAUCAUUCAUAGCUACCAGCAUAAUGCAAUACACCAU